GAUGAACGCUGGCGGCGUGCUUAACACAUGCAAGUCGAACGGAAAGGCCCAAGCUUGCUUGGGUACUCGAGUGGCGAACGGGUGAGUAACACGUGGGUGAUCUGCCCUGCACUUCGGGAUAAGCCUGGGAAACUGGGUCUAAUACCGGAUAGGACGAUGGUUUGGAUGCCAUUGUGGAAAGUUUUUUCGGUGUGGGAUGAGCUCGCGGCCUAUCAGCUUGUUGGUGGGGUAAUGGCCUACCAAGGCGUCGACGGGUAGCCGGCCUGAGAGGGUGUACGGCCACAUUGGGACUGAGAUACAGCCCAGACUCCUACGGGAGGCAGCAGUGGGGAAUAUUGCACAAUGGGCGCAAGCCUGAAGCAGCGACGCCGCGUGGGGGAUGACGGCCUUCGGGUUGUAAACUCCUUUCGCUAGGGAAGAAGCGUUUUUGUGACGGUACCUGGAGAAGAAGCACCGGCUAACUACGUG
rnacentral:rRNA from 1 species